rnacentral:sRNA from 1 species
GCCAGGCUUGGUGGUGUACACCUGUAAUCCCAGCAGCUUGGGAGGCUGAGACAGGAGGAUUGCAAGUUCAAAACCAGCCUCAGCAAAAGCGAGGUGCUAAGUAACUCGUGAAACCCUGUCUCUA